CUCAGCGACCGAUAGUGAACAAGUACCGUGAGGGAAAGGUGAAAAGCACCCCGACAAGGGGAGUGAAACAGAACCUGAAAUUGGAAGCCUACAAGCAGUCGGAGCCCCCAAGCGGGGUGACGGCGUACCUUUUGUAUAAUGGGUCAGCGACUUCAUGUGCCGAGCAAGCUUAAGCCGAUAGGUGUAGGCGUAGCGAAAGCGAGUUUGAAUAGAGCGUUAAGUUCGUCGCAUGACGACCCGAAACCAGGUGAUCUAUCCAUGAGCAGGUUGAAGGUAAGGUAACACUUACUGGAGGUCCGAACCGGUGUCUGUUGAAAAAGACUCGGAUGACUUGUGGAUAGGGGUGAAAGGCCAAUCAAACCUGGACAUAGCUGGUUCUCCGCGAAAUCUAUUUAGGUAGAGCGUCGGAUGUAUUCCUUGGGGGGUAGAGCACUGGAUGGAUGCGGGCGGCGCGAGCUGUACCAAUUCUAACCAAACUCCGAAUACCCAAGAGAACUGUCCGGCAGACACACGGCGGGUGCUAACGUCCGUCGUGAAAAGGGAAACAACCCUAACCAUCAUCUAAGGCCCCCAAGUUAUGGCUAAGUGGGAAACGAAGUGGGAAGGCAUUGACAGUCAGGAGGUUGGCUUAGAAGCAGCCACCCUUUAAAGAAAGCGUAAUAGCUCACUGAUCGAGUCGGCCUGCGCCGAAGAUUUAACGGGGCUAAGCAAUAAACCGAAGCUGCGGGAUGCACAAUGUGCAUCGGUAGGAGAGCGUUGUGUAAGUCUGUGAAGGUGUUCUGAGAGGAAUGCUGGAGAUAUCACAAGUGCGAAUGCUGACAUAAGUAACGAUAAACAAGGUGAAAACCCUUGUCGCCGAAAGCCCAAGGUUUCCUACGCAACGUCAAUCGGCGUAGGGUUAGUCGGCCCCUAAGGCGAGGCUGAAAAGCGUAGUCGAUGGGAAACAGGUUAAUAUUCCUGUACUUGUGUAUGUUGCGAUGGAGGGACGAAGAAGGCUAGCUAAGCCAGGUGUUGGUUAUCCUGGUUUAAGGUGGUAGGCAGAGAUCUUAGGCAAAUCCGGGAUCUUAUAUGUCGAGAGCUGAUGACGAGCCUUAUGGCGAAGUUAGUGAUGCCAAGCUUCCAAGAAAAGCUUCUAAGCAUAAACAUACAUGAACCGUACCCCAAACCGACACAGGUGGGCAGGAUGAGUAUUCCAAGGCGCUUGAGAGAACUCGGGUUAAGGAACUAGGCAAAUUGACACCGUAACUUCGGGAGAAGGUGUGCCCUGGUAGGGUGAAGUCCCUUGCGGAUGGAGCUUGAAGGGGUUGCAAAAAAUUGGCCGCUGCGACUGUUUAUUAAAAACACAGCACUCUGCAAACUCGAAAGAGGACGUAUAGGGUGUGAUGCCUGCCCGGUGCUGGAAGAUUAAAUGAUGGGGUGAGAGCUCUUGAUUGAAGUCCCAGUAAACGGCGGCCGUAACUAUAACGGUCCUAAGGUAGCGAAAUUCCUUGUCGGGUAAGUUCCGACCUGCACGAAUGGCAUAACGAUGGCGGCACUGUCUCAACCCGAGACUCAGUGAAAUUGAAUUCGCAGUGAAGAUGCUGUGUACCCGCGGCUAGACGGAAAGACCCCGUGAACCUUUACUAUAGCUUUACAUUGAACUUUGAACCUACUUGUGUAGGAUAGGUGGGAGACUGUGAAUCAGGAACGCUAGUUCUUGUGGAGUCGUCCUUGAAAUACCACCCUGGUAUGUUUAAGGUUCUAACCAAGUUGAAGACCUCAACUGGGACAAUGUAUGGUGGGUAGUUUGACUGGGGCGGUCUCCUCCAAAAGCGUAACGGAGGAGCGCGAAGGUACCCUCAGCACGGUCGGACAUCGUGCAAUGAGUGCAAAAGCAAAAGGGUGCUUGACUGCGAGACUCACACGUCGAGCAGGUACGAAAGUAGGCUUUAGUGAUCCGGGGGUUCUGUAUGGACGGGCCAUCGCUCAACGG
rnacentral:rRNA from 1 species